ACCAUGACUGACGCAGUAGCGGCUCUCUUCCAUUGUGCAUGCGCAGAUUAUAUUUUGCCUUCCUUCAUGUAUGCCAUUACACAACCCUUCAUCUGCUUGUCGUUGCGUAUUGGUGUUUCUUUCGAACGUGUCUGCCAGCCUGCUGCUUUGAAUCCUCGGCAAAAUGGAGAGCAAGGACCCGAGGACUGACCCUUGCGGCUCACCGUACUUGAUGGACAAAGCGGAGUCUACCCCACAUGUAUCGCAAGCAAGAAACCGGUCACGUGUGCCCUACUGAAACGACGGCAGCCACCGACGGGCGCUCACGUCUAAGGCAGUUAUAGAAGCAUUUCCGGGCUUCUGCGAUGACAGACAAAGAUGUAGAAACGCUAUGCUGCCUUUUGCGCCAACUCCGAAGGGUGCAACUAGCGUGUCUGGACGCUGUGGGGCUGAAGUGGUUUCAGCGAGUAACAACGUUCCGUCAGGUGGAAUCCGUCGAAUCCCUCCGAAGCAGCCUGAGAUCCCACCCCUACCCACGGGAGCGCUUGAAGCGCGUGGCCGUCCUGUACUCUUGGCUCGCGCCUUUAGAAAUUUUGCGGCCGUGGACGCUGUAUCGCAGUAAUGUCGCCGCACAAUUUCUCACCCCCUUCACUGUUCUUGCAGAGCUAUCGAGACACCUACAGCCUGAGGGUAACACGGACACAUGCGGUUUCGCCCACGACGGUAGCUCUGUAUAUUUCAGCAUUCCCACGACCGAAGAUGGGUUCAUGACAGUCGAACACAAAAUAGUUUUUGUGCUUUUGCAUGUGGCGUCGGCUGCCCGUUCUGGCCGUUCACGCUCCAGGAGCGAUAAUCCAUAAAGAAUUCUUUAGGGCCGCCCUCACCGCGGUUCUCGUGGAUCCCGAAAAGUAUGUGCUCGGCUAUUUCGGUGACUUGGACUCGGCGCGUUCAGAGGCGAUGAAAACUUUGGUGGCUUAAGAACAUGUUCACACGUUUAACGUAUAAAGUAUACGAGAAGCGCGUGAAGUCACCGCAGGUCAGGACUGCAGCGCAUAGUUUCAUUUGCUCCUGAGACACGUAUGCGACCACCCGUCGUGGUUGCUCAGUGGCUAUGGUGUUAGGCUGCUGAGCACGAGGUCGCGGGAUCGAAUCCCGGCCACGGCGGCCGCAUUUCGAUG